AGAGAGAGACAUGCGCGCAUAUCAAUAAGCGGAGGAAAAGAAACUAACAAGGAUUCCCUUAGUAACGGCGAGUGAAGCGGGAAGAGCUCAAAUUUGAAAUCUUCAAGGUUUUACCUUGACGAAUUGUAGUUUAAAGAAGUGUUUUCUGCUGAAGUUUUGGCUAAAAGUUCUUUGGAAUAGGACAUCAUAGAGGGUGAGAAUCCCGUAUUUGACCAUUAUUUUCAGCUUUGUGAUACACUUUCAAAGAGUCGGAUUGUUUGGGAAUGCAGUCCAAAAUGGGUGGUAAAUUUCAUCUAAAGCUAAAUAUUGGCGAGAGACCGAUAGCGAACAAGUACCGUGAGGGAAAGAUGAAAAGAACUUUGAAAAGAGAGUUAAACAGUACGUGAAAUUGUCAAAAGGGAAGCGUUUGACACCAGUGUUGUUUUCUCGAAAAUCAAUUAAAAAUGGCUCGAUUUUGUAUUGUUGAGACCUUAAAAGCUCACUGUACAUUUUUCGUGUCUUUUUUAAUGCACUUUUCGUUUAACAAGUCAACAUCAGUUUCUUUUGUUGUAAAAGGGUCAUUGGAAGGUGGCUUUCUUUUCGGAGAAAGUGUUUAUAGCCUUUGGCCUCUGCAAUCGAAGAGACUGAGGUCUGCAGCGUAGACUCUUCGGGGUUAGAUACAUUUGUGCUAAGUUAUAGCUUUUUAUAGACAACUUGUUGACUAUAAUUAGUCUUGUAGCUUACUCGCUUAUGCUAUUUUACCUACGCUUAGGAUGUUGAGUCGUAGAGCACGCAG
rnacentral:rRNA from 1 species